UACGAAGGGGGCUAGCGUUGCUCGGAAUCACUGGGCGUAAAGGGCGCGUAGGCGGCGUUUUUAAGUCGGGGGGUGAAAGCCUGUGGCUCAACCACAGAAUGGCCUUCGAUACUGGGACGCUUGAGUAUGGUAGAGGUUGGUGGAACUGCGAGUGUAGAGGUGAAAUUCGUAGAUAUUCGCAAGAACACCGGUGGCGAAGGCGGCCAACUGGACCAUUACUGACGCUGAGGCGCGAAAGCGUGGGGAGCGAACAGG
rnacentral:rRNA from 1 species